rnacentral:rRNA from 1 species
UGGGGAAUAUUGGACAAUGGGCGAAAGCCUGAUCCAGCCAUGCCGCGUGUGUGAAGAAGGUCUUCGGAUUGUAAAGCACUUUAAGUUGGGAGGAAGGGCAUUAACCUAAUACGUUAUUGUUUUGACGUUACCGACAGAAUAAGCACCGGCUAACUCUGUGCCAGCAGCCGCGGUAAUACAGAGGGUGCAAGCGUUAAUCGGAAUUACUGGGCGUAAAGCGCGCGUAGGUGGUUUGUUAAGUUGGAUGUGAAAUCCCCGGGCUCAACCUGGGAACUGCAUUCAAAACUGACUGACUAGAGUAUGGUAGAGGGUGGUGGAAUUUCCUGUGUAGCGGUGAAAUGCGUAGAUAUAGGAAGGAACACCAGUGGCGAAGGCGACCACCUGGACUAAUACUGACACUGAGGUGCGAAAGCGUGGGGAGCAAACA